rnacentral:ncRNA from 2 species
GCCUUGCGUUCGUUUUCAGGUGUUGUUCGAGCGCUAUCAUCAUCGCGACAACAGUGAAACGGGAAGCCGGUUAAAGUCCGGCACUGCCCCCGCAACGGUAAGUGAGUGAACGGCUAAGAAAGGUGCCACUGUGCGAACGCAUGGGAAGGCUUGCGCCGUUCAGUAAUACAGCUCACAAGUCCGGAGACCGGCCUGUCAACACACCGAACG